rnacentral:rRNA from 1 species
UACGAAGGGGGCUAGCGUUGUUCGGAUUUACUGGGCGUAAAGCGCACGUAGGCGGAUCGUUAAGUCGGGGGUGAAAUCCUGGAGCUCAACUCCAGAACUGCCUUCGAUACUGGCGAUCUUGAGUCCGGAAGAGGUGAGUGGAACUCCUAGUGUAGAGGUGGAAUGCGUAGAUAUCUGGAGGAACACCGGUGGCGAAGGCGGCAUCCUGGACCAAUAUUGACGCUGAGGAGCGAAAGCCAGGGGAGCAAACGGG